UACGUAGGGGCCUAGCGUUGUCCGGAAUUAUUGGGCGUAAAGAGCUCGUAGGCGGUUCGGCAAGUCGGAUGUGAAAUCUCCACGCUCAACGUGGAGGGGCCAUUCGAAACUGCCGUGACUCUAAGUCCGGUAGGGGAGUGUGGAAUUCCCGGUGUAGCGGUGAAAUGCGCAGAUAUCAGGAGGAACACCGGUGGCGAAGGCGGGUCUCUGGGCCGAUACUGACGCUGAGGAGCGAAAGCGUGGGGAGCGAACAGGG
rnacentral:rRNA from 1 species